rnacentral:rRNA from 1 species
GCCAGACUUGGAACCGGGAGAGGUAAGAGGUACGUACAGGGGUAGGAGUGAAAUCUUGUAAUCCCUGUGGACCACCUGUGGCGAAGGCGUCUUACCAGAACGGGUUCGACGGUGAGGGACGAAAGCUGGGGGCACGAACCGGAUUAGAUACCCGGGUAGUCCCAGCCGUAAACGAUGCUCGCUAGGUGUCAGGCAUGGCGCGACCGUGUCUGGUGCCGCAGGGAAGCCGUGAAGCGAGCCACCUGGGAAGUACGGCCGCAAGGCUGAAACUUAAAGGAAUUGGCGGGGGAGCACAACAACGGGUGGAGCCCUGCGGUUUAAUUGGACUCAACGCCGGACAACUCACCGGGGGCGACAGCAAUAUGUAGGCCAAGCUGAAGACUUUGCCUGAAUCGCUGAGAGGAGGUGCAUGG